GAACGCUGGCGGCGUGCCUAAUACAUGCAAGUAGAACGCUGAAGAGAGGAGCUUGCUCUUCUUGGAUGAGUUGCGAACGGGUGAGUAACGCGUAGGUAACCUGCCUUGUAGCGGGGGAUAACUAUUGGAAACGAUAGCUAAUACCGCAUAACAACGGGUGACACAUGUCAUUUAUUUGAAAGGGGCAAUUGCUCCACUACAAGAUGGACCUGCGUUGUAUUAGCUAGUAGGUGAGGUAACGGCUCACCUAGGCGACGAUACAUAGCCGACCUGAGAGGGUGAUCGGCCACACUGGGACUGAGACACGGCCCAGACUCCUACGGGAGGCAGCAGUAGGGAAUCUUCGGCAAUGGGGGCAACCCUGACCGAGCAACGCCGCGUGAGUGAAGAAGGUUUUCGGAUCGUAAAGCUCUGUUGUAAGUCAAGAACGAGUGUGAGAGUGGAAAGUUCACACUGUGACGGUAGCUUACCAGAAAGGGACGGCUAACUACGUGCCAGCAGCCGCGGUAAUACGUAGGUCCCGAGCGUUGUCCGGAUUUAUUGGGCGUAAAGCGAGCGCAGGCGGUUUGAUAAGUCUGAAGUUAAAGGCUGUGGCUCAACCAUAGUUCGCUUUGGAAACUGUCAAACUUGAGUGCAGAAGGGGAGAGUGGAAUUCCAUGUGUAGCGGUGAAAUGCGUAGAUAUAUGGAGGAACACCGGUGGCGAAAGCGGCUCUCUGGUCUGUAACUGACGCUGAGGCUCGAAAGCGUGGGGAGCGAACAGGAUUAGAUACCCUGGUAGUCCACGCCGUAAACGAUGAGUGCUAGGUGUUGGAUCCUUUCCGGGAUUCAGUGCCGCAGCUAACGCAUUAAGCACUCCGCCUGGGAGUACGA
rnacentral:rRNA from 1 species